UUGAUUUUCUUCAUUCCUAGUUACACUGACUGAUAGAAUUGUGAAGUGCUCUGUGGGUGCAGAACAGGAGGCUUUUUCAAGCCCUUUUACUUAGACAUGUCAUGUGAUACUGCUCUUUUGGAAUGCUGUGCUACACGUAGUGGUAAUUGUAUAAGGUUAAUCAGAGUACGUGAAAUUCUUGGUGCUGAAUUUAGGAUGUCUUUGAGAUUGUUGGGGAAAUACAUUUUAUGCCUGCUCCUUAGUACUACAGUUUUGUUUUAUACUUAAUUUAUUCAAGUUAGCCAUUUUCAGUUUAGUUUAUUGAGUGUUAUAAUUUAUUACCUAUAUACCAGGUGUUAAUAAGUAAGAUGUGUGUUUAUUUCUGAGCUAAAGAUAAAAUAUGUCAUGUUGAUAUAUCUUUCACUGGAAAUGAAUGGUGGACAGGAAGGAAUUUUCAACUUAAGGUUUGGAUAUGAAACUGAUUUUACUGUAUGGAUUGCAAAUAUGACAUAAUAACUAAAUUGUUAGUAAUAUUGCUACGUUGAUUGUAAACUGCAGAUGAGUGAGGUCACAUGUUUCCAUCUCUCCGCGAUGACUGCGUGCGGUUAAUGCGGUAUUUCCACUCACCUGUCUAUUUUCUAGUGAGUUCUCUGGUGUUGCUGGGAAUAAGGGGGUGAAGGAAGGAGCUCCUAUUCUAGUCUGCUAGUUCUCUGUCUCUCGCCUCUCCCUGUCUUCUAUGUUCCUUACAUGUAUAUACAUAUAUGUAUGUGUUUAUAAUAGGUAUCUGAUCAUUGGAAUAAAAUGAACUCAAG
rnacentral:lncRNA from 1 species